rnacentral:rRNA from 1 species
GCAUGAAGUUGGAAUUGCUAGUAAUCGCGAAUCAGAAUGUCGCGGUGAAUACGUUCCCGGGCCUUGUACACACCGCCCGUCACACCAUGAGAGUCGAUAACACCCGAAGCCUGUGAGCUAACCGUAAGGAGGCAGCAAUCGAAGGUGGGGUUGAUGAUUGGGGUGAAGUCGUAACAAGGUACC